AAGCCGUUAUGCGGGCAAUCUCUUACCAGUCUUUUAAACCUCGCCCAAGCGUCGUUGAGCAAUUCGUCAGUAUCUUGUUCAAAAUUUGUGAUCAACUUCCUGCUUCU